UUAUGGCUGGAACAUAUUCCGUGGUGUAUCUGUACAGCAGUUUCUUCAUCCCUGCAGCUGUGUGUGGACGGGCCAUAUACCAUGAUGUCCUCCAGGUUCAACAGUGUGGCUCCAAAUGAUGAAAUUUCAUUCUGGUUUUCUGGUUGAAGACGAUUCUAUUUGUGUACAUCCACCAAGUAUCCCUUCAUCUGCGGAUGGGCAGGUUUUUCCAUGUGGCUGCAAGUGACGAGAUUUCACCCAUUUCUAUGAUUGAAGAAUAUUCUACUCUG